rnacentral:rRNA from 1 species
AGGACGAACGCUGGCGGCGUUGCCUAACACAUGCAAGUCGAACGGGGUCCAUCCGGUGGGCAACACCGGAGAAGACCCAGUGGCGAACGGGUGCGGAACACGUGAGCAACCUGCCCCGAAGAUCGGGAUAACGGCGGGAAACUGCCGCUAAUACCGUAAUGCCCCCACGAGCCCGCAUGGGUUUGUGAGGAAAGGAUUCUGCUUCGGGAGGGGCUCGCGGCCUAUCAGCUUGUUGGUGGGUAACGGCCUUACCAAGGCGACGACGGGUAGCUGGUCUGAGAGGACGAUCAGCCACACUGGGACUGAGACACGGCCCAGACUCUACGGGAGGCAGC